AGAGUUUGAUCCUGGCUCAGGAUGAACGCUAGCGACAGGCUUAACACAUGCAAGUCGAGGGGCAGCGGGGUAGUGCUUGCACUACUGCCGGCGACCGGCGCACGGGUGAGUAACACGUAUGGAACCUGCCCGCAGCAGGGGGAUAAGCGGAAGAAAUUCCGUCUAAUACCGCGUAAGAACGUUGGGAGGCAUCUCCCGAUGUUUAAAGAUUUAUCGGCUGCGGAUGGCCAUGCGGCGCAUUAGCUAGUCGGCGGGGUAACGGCCCACCGAGGCGACGAUGCGUUGGGGUUCUGAGAGGAAGGUCCCCCACACUGGUACUGAGACACGGACCAGACUCCUACGGGAGGCAGCAGUGAGGAAUAUUGGUCAAUGGCCGAGAGGCUGAACCAGCCAAGUCGCGUGAGGGAAGACGGCCCUACGGGUUGUAAACCUCUUUUGUCGGGGAGCAAAGCGAACCACGUGUGGUUCAUUGAGAGUACCCGAAGAAAAAGCAUCGGCUAACUCCGUGCCAGCAGCCGCGGUAAUGCGGAGGAUGCGAGCGUUAUCCGGAUUUAUUGGGUUUAAAGGGUGCGCAGGCGGAGGUGCAAGUCAGCGGUCAAAUUGCGGGGCUCAACCCCGUACUGCCGUUGAAACUGCAUCCCUUGAGUGCGCGAGAAGUAUGCGGAAUGCGUGGUGUAGCGGUGAAAUGCAUAGAUAUCACGCAGAACUCCGAUUGCGAAGGCAGCAUGCCGGCUCCACACUGACGCUGAGGCCCGAAAGCGUGGGUAUCGAACAAAAUUAGAUACCCUGGUAGUCCACGCAGUAAACGAUGAAUGCUGGCUGUCCGGGGGGAUUGACCCCUGGGUGGCGAAGCGAAAGCGAUAAGCAUUCCACCUGGGGAGUACGCCGGCAACGGUGAAACUCAAAGGAAUUGACGGGGGCCCGCACAAGCGGAGGAACAUGUGGUUUAAUUCGAUGAUACGCGAGGAACCUUACCCGGGCUCAAACGGGGAGUGACUCAGGCAGAGACGCCUGUUUCCCACGGGACACUCCCCGAGGUGCUGCAUGGUUGUCGUCAGCUCGUGCCGUGAGGUGUCGGCUUAAGUGCCAUAACGAGCGCAACCCCCGCGUGCAGUUGCUAACAGAUAACGCUGAGGACUCUGCACGGACUGCCGGCGCAAGCCGCGAGGAAGGCGGGGAUGACGUCAAAUCAGCACGGCCCUUACGUCCGGGGCGACACACGUGUUACAAUGGGUGGUACAGCGGGAAGCCAGGCGGCGACGCCGAGCGGAACCCGAAAUCCACUCUCAGUUCGGGUCGGAGUCUGCAACCCGACUCCGUGAAGCUGGAUUCGCUAGUAAUCGCGCAUCAGCCAUGGCGCGGUGAAUACGUUCCCGGGCCUUGCACUCACCGCCCGUCAAG
rnacentral:rRNA from 1 species